rnacentral:rRNA from 1 species
UACGUAGGGGGUAAGCGUUGUCCGGAUUUAUUGGGCGUAAAGAGCGUGUAGGCGGUUUGGUAGGUCCGUUGUGAAAACUCGAGGCUCAACCUCGAGACGCCGAUGGAAACCAUCAGACUAGAGUCCGGAAGAGGAGAGUGGAAUUCCUGGUGUAGCGGUGAAAUGCGCAGAUAUCAGGAAGAACACCCGUGGCUAAGGCGGCUCUCUAGUACGGUACUGACGCUGAGACGCGAAAGCGUGGGGAGCGAACAGG